rnacentral:lncRNA from 1 species
GUCCUUUCACUUUUUUCCUUCUCUUUCUCUGCAGUUCGUUCAUUUAGCAACAAGCAGGCAGUAAGAAUGCUCCAAAUUUCCAGGUCCUGCUAAAAAUACUGACAAAAAACUGACAACGAAUACACGCACACACAUGAAGUGAAAGCGUCUGGAGAGAGGAAAGAGUGAGAGUGGAUGAGAGGAGAAAAGCACACACCCACCCCUCUACAUUCUUAACCCACCGCACCAACAAGAAGAGAACACGCGUGGAAUGGCAAACGAGACAACACGACCAGACAACACACAACAUAUGUUGAAUAGGCUUUCACUCUCUCUCUCUCUCGCAUUUCAACAUAGCUUUUGGUUAACAUGCCCUGGCAAACCAAAACAAAAGCAGCAGAGCCGACAGAAACGAUUUUUAUUCCCGCACAAGGAAUUGGUUGGUUGGGGGGGGCCCUAGCAGGAGAGAUAGG